GACGAACGCUGGCGGCGUGCUUAACACAUGCAAGUCGAACGGAAAGGCCCUGCUUUUGUGGGGUGCUCGAGUGGCGAACGGGUGAGUAACACGUGAGUAACCUGCCCUUGACUUUGGGAUAACUUCAGGAAACUGGGGCUAAUACCAGAUAGGAGCUCCUGCUGCAUGGUGGGGGUUGGAAAGUUUCGGCGGUUGGGGAUGGACUCGCGGCUUAUCAGCUUGUUGGUGGGGUAGUGGCUUACCAAGGCUUUGACGGGUAGCCGGCCUGAGAGGGUGACCGGCCACAUUGGGACUGGGAUACGGCCCAGACUCCUACGGGAGGCAGCAGUGGGGAAUAUUGCACAAUGGGCGGAAGCCUGAUGCAGCAACGCCGCGUGCGGGAUGACGGCCUUCGGGUUGUAAACCGCUUUCGCCUGUGACGAAGCGUGAGUGACGGUAAUGGGUAAAGAAGCACCGGCUAACUACGUG
rnacentral:rRNA from 1 species